CACCCGAAACACACUGCAUGCUAAAGGACCUACAGAAAGCAUGAAUCCUGACCUUCUAACGCAUUUUAUCAUGUCAUUCUGCCUGCUAACUUUUAAAAAGUAGUGUACUUUAUCAGAAAGUGAGGUUUACUGUAGAGAGGCUUGAGGCAGAGAGCUGAGAUAUGAAGGACCCUGAGAGCCUGUGAUUCUAAAUAAUGAUUUAUUAUGUGUGGUAUCGGAGCCAGGGUUAUGAUCUGGAUUCAAAUCCGAGUUUGAGUACAUUCUGUACCCAUUAACAGUUGAUAGCGCAUACUUGUCUAGAUCUGAACCAGCUUUAAACUAUAGGCACCCCCGAAAGGUUCGGGUUCGUCAUCGUAAAGAUCACUUUUGGAAAUCGAUUAUGCGCCAAUAUUUACGGGUUCCUCGCCGGCGAUCAAUCCUAGACUCGGGUCCCAUUUUGACCCCCGGUUGAAGUAGAAAUCUGACGCGUGACGCUCCGGAAUGGACAGACUAUAUUAUAGUAACAUCACAUAGGCACGUUGUAGCGUGCGAAUGAUCAAACUAGAAGCAGACAAGAACACUGAGUAACAAACUGUAACAAACUGCCUCCUGUCGUGCUCUCUGAAUUGAUAACCAGUCAACCAGAGUGCAACAAUCACCAUCCUGUCUAUUAUCAACAGGACGUGGUGGAAGACCUGCUAUCCAGGGGCUCCCCCUCACGCCACAGUGGCAAUUACACAUUCAGACAUGCAGCUUUUUUUCUUUUUUCUUUUUUUGACAGUACAGGCAGUGAUGAAUCUGAUUGGUUAAAGCCGGAAAACACCUACUGUCCAUUAUGAGAUGGUUGCCAUGCGGUUUGGGCUUUUAUUUCAUUAAGGCCUCGGCACAAAUUUUUCAUGGUGUAAAUGUACGAUGAACAUGGUUUAGCUUUGUAAAUAUUAUACAGAGGAAAUUGAGGUUUGAUGUCACAGUGACUAUAUUUCAGUAAUAAUAAAUGUGUUUCUCUUGCAGUGAUUUUAUUUGGUGGUUUUAAACACUUAGUUCUAAAGUUAAAAGCAGAAACUUUUUAUGAAUUUUGUUCACCAAACUAUAAUCUCUCUUUCUCUCUCUCUCUAUAUAUAUGCUAUAACUAUUUAAUAAUAAUAAUACCAUAUAACCAAGACACAGUCAGUGAACUGAACUAUAUCAUUGAAAGGCUGAUAAUUUUAGAUAUUUGUUUAAGUGGUUUGCUGUAUAUGUUUUCUUUACACAUUACUGCUAUUAUAUGAAUUAUUCUGUUUUAUAAUCGUUUAACUGUUUCAAUUCUGCUAAAAAGCCUGGCUUAAAAUAAUUCUAAGCGUGUUCUAUAAACUGUAUUGUUUCAAGCAACAAUAAAAAAAAAAGUUAAUGUUCAGUUAAUACUAAUAAAAUGUAUUUAAAGUUUGUGCCUGUGCAUAAUAUAUAUAUUUUACAAUGGCUUAUUUUAUUUUUUACUAGCUUUGUACUGCCAUUGCAAAUUAGCGAUUACGAUUAGUAUAGUACAUUUGUAUUAACAACAUUAAUAUUGUUAUUAAUCAUAUAUAUAUCCAGCACUAACAAUCUAUGAGUUACUUAAGCAAGAAUGGGAGUUUUGGAGGAGGG